UGCCAGCAGCCGCCGGUAAUACGAAGGGUCCGAGCGUUAUCCGGAAUCAUUGGGUUUAAAGGGUCCGCAGGCGGUCAAUUAAGUCAGAGGUGAAAUCCCAUAGCUUAACUAUGGAACUGCCUUUGAUACUGGUUGACUUGAGUCAUAUGGAAGUAGAUAGAAUGUGUAGUGUAGCGGUGAAAUGCAUAGAUAUUACACAGAAUGCCAAUUGCGAAGGCAGAUUACUAACAAUUAACUGACGCUGAGGGACGAAAGCGUGGGUAGCGAAGAGGAUUAGAUA
rnacentral:rRNA from 1 species